rnacentral:miRNA from 1 species
AUAUUUCGGAACUGAGUCCAGUUCCUUCGAUAUCAAUGUAAUCAGUAAUACCGAAGGAACUAGACUCAGUUCCGAAAUAU